AACCAAGGCCGCGUGCCUAAUAAUGCAAGUCGAGCGGACAGAAGGGAGCUUGCUCCCGGAUGUUAGCGGCGGACGGGUGAGUAACACGUGGGUAACCUGCCUGUAAGACUGGGAUAACUCCGGGAAACCGGAGCUAAUACCGGAUAGUUCCUUGAACCGCAUGGUUCAAGGAUGAAAGACGGUUUCGGCUGUCACUUACGGAUGGACCCGCGGCGCAUUAGCUAGUUGGUGGGGUAAUGGCUCACCAAGGCGACGAUGCGUAGCCGACCUGAGAGGGUGAUCGGCCACACUGGGACUGAGACACGGCCCAGACUCCUACGGGAGGCAGCAGUAGGGAAUCUUCCGCAUUGGACGAAAGUCUGACGGACAAACGCCGCGUGAGUGAAAAGGUUUUGGUAU
rnacentral:rRNA from 1 species